CCCUGGUGUGACGACAGAAAAAGAGCAGAAAAUCUCCCGGCAAAUGCAAGCGUCUCAUAGUUCACAUUUGAUCGAUUCAAACCAGCUGCUUAAAGAGCUGCUUGCUACCACUUUGUAAUUGUAUUAGAAGACAAUAGCCCAAGACAGCUGUGGCAUGCCCUGUUUACAGCUGCUUAUCCUAUUCUGUCUUUCCGUCAUCUCAACCUCGCAUCUAAGCAUCACGUUCCUAGGGACAACAAAAAGACCUUCAAGCUCUAAGGCUAUCAUAGUACUGCCAGCAUGGUUACAUCUAACUGCCUACUGGGCAAGCUUCCACUUCUUUUUUUUAUUUGGCACCAGCCAAAGGAGUAGGAGCAUGGGCACUGGUAAAAGAUUCAAUCGAUCCUGUUCUGGUAACAAAGCAGUAGGCAAGCCUUAGUGGGGACCAUCCAUACCUCUAAGCCCGAUAAUCCCCUCGGAUCGAAGCGCACCACGGGAUGCUGUCCUUUAUGGAUGCUUUCUCUUGAUAUAACCAGAUCAAGAUGGCCGAAGAAAAGAAGACCGAGAGAAAACAGCGUUUAUCACCAUAUCAGGUAGGAGGGCACGUUCUGUUACAAGGUGAUGCCGUGGUGAUCUAAGCCGUCAACGAGCAAUUCGUCUCAGUUGAAUCCAAAGAAAGAGGGCUAGGCCCGCCCAG